ACAACUCCCAGCUGCUAGGAGAGGUGGUCCACAACAUCUGAGGUGGAUCUUCCAUACCUUCAGAGCCAAUGAGAUAUCAGCAUAUGCACAAAACCCUCCACCUUUAUCACUUGAGCAGUGAUGAAAGCCACCACCUGGAAAAAGAAACGAAAGUAGCUUCUUGGGAGAAAAGCGAUGACAAGCCUAGACAGCAUCUUAAAAAGCAAAGACAUCACCUUGCCAACAAAGGACAUGGAGGUAAAGGAUCCCUGGAUGGAGGAUAAGGGAAUGGCCAAGACGCAAAUCUUGCUGCUAGCUCCAUAGCAAAAGCAAAGUCAAACUGCUAUUAUCUGGCUAUUGACAGCGAUUCCUAAACUCAAAAUCAAAUCCAGACACAAACACGCAUAGCUGUCAACUUUCAGAUUUGAAAAUAAGGGAUCAGCAGCCUCGAAAAUAAGGGAUCAGCAGCCUCACCUGUCCUGGGGACAGUCUACGGGAUAUCUAACAAUCCAGAAUAGCAGUGGGAACCAGCGGGAAACGGCACUGGAAUAAGGGAAUUUCCCACAAAGAAAGGGAAGGUUGACAGCUAUGACAAACACACCCCAGUAAAGGACAAGCAUCAAGAAAUUAAAAGCCCACUGUCAGUCCCCCAACUUGUCAUAGGGAGAAUAUCAGCAGUCCUAAAAUCACAUCCAUGAAAUGCGGAACUUUACUCUUCAUUAGGAAGAAACAAAUGCAGCUCUUGGGGGGGAAAACUUUCAAAACAAGGAGCUAUCAGAAGUCAGCAUAAUUUGCACACAGGCCAGUGCAAAUGUAAUACUGCCUUAUCUCCUUCUCAAACUUAAGCAAUGGCUACACACAAUUCUCCUUUUGCAUGAACUUCACCCUUUAUUUCAUUUUCUGAAUGAACCAGGGUUAGCAUUGCAUCUACAGAAGCAUUUUCUCUAAAGGUGGUUAAAUCUAAACCAGAGUUUGCAAUACAAUCAAAAGUGGAGUUGCACAGUCCUUAGGCUAAGGACUAUUAGUAAAAAAAACAAAAAACCUGGGGCAUGCAUAACUCUUAUUACCAUUCACAGGUCCAAAAAUGGAAGGAAGGAAGGAAGGAAGGAAGGAAGGAAGGAAGGAAGGAAGGAAGGAGUGAAAAGGAUGUCUUAACUAUGGUCUGCACUGAGCCCAAGUGUUAAAUAAAUGCAAAUUUAGCAGACUGGAUUUCCGCUGUCUGGAACUAAGAUAGUAGAAAGGCAUAAAAAUUACAGUGUAGAAACUGUUAAAAUGUGAGCAUAAACUGCACAUCUCUUUAGGGUUUUUAAUCAUCUUUUCUCAUCACUGAGAUUUAAAAACAUG